GGGCAGGUGUGUUACGUGUGCAUCCCCACAGGCUAGGUCUCGGGAGCUAUGAACAAGUAAGAGGGGAUGAAAAUCAUGCAGAGUAGUGGGCACUAGAGUGGAGUGUAGACUGUCGAUGUUGACUUGGUUACUGUUCAUCAAGUGGGGCUGAUGUGGAUGGGAUGGGAGAGGGAGGCAGGGAUGAGGGCAAGAUUUCACGCACCAAUUGAAUUUUUUGUAGUGAGGGCUCUUGCUUGGCUUAUUUGCUGCACUUGUAGAGGAAUUGUCCAGGAGCAGCAGCCAGAGGAGAAAUUGGCAGACGUGGGCCUGAGGAGCCUGGACAUUCUUCUAAGGAGACAUGAACAGUCCUCAGCUUUCUGCCUCGUGCAUAACUGGCUGUGGGUAAGUGGUCAGUGCUUGGAAUUCCUCAUCUGUACUUUCUGUGAUUUUCUUCACACUUUGUUUGCUUCCUUGUUGGGUGUGGGGCUCUUUGGGAUUAAGGCUGGGGAAAGGACCAGAGUCACAAUUGCUAACUUUCACUGGGGAAAUAAGCACCCCGACUUUGACAAUAAGCCAAAAAUCAAGAUAAACCCAUUUGAAAACAAGGCCAAAACAAGCCAGUCCCUAAGAACCCCAACACUCAAUGACUAGAUCUCCCCUGGCAUGCAGUCUGGGACUGUGGUGGGCCCGCUGUGCACCUCAACUAGCCGUCCCCUUUGCUCCUCCUUGUCCGUGCUUGCUGGAAGCAAAAAGCUACAAGAAGCAAUAAGUUACAAGGCAAAAAGAAGCACAAUUUCUGUGUGUUUUCCCCACAGGUUUGGUGUGUCUGACCAGAGUCAUCUGUGCAGAGUGACUAUUUCAGGUGUUGUCGCAAGGGGUGCUUUCUACUUGUAGUCAUAAAGGCGUGAUGGGAGGAGGGUUCAGGGCAGAACCCCACCAUGUGGGAGAGGCAAAAAGAAGCGGCUACCCAACAUUGCCAAUUGAGAUGGUGACUGACUUGUUUUUCCGCUGGAUUUAGUACCAAGGGAAAAGAAGUGACAAGUCAGAGUCUACUGCCCCCAUACGAUGGAAAGUGAGCGAGAGUGAUGGGACUGCAAGAAUUAUUGAUGCCUUGAAAAAGCCGUCCAACUGGGAAUGGAAGAGUCAUCACUGUCAAUGAGAUAAGUGUCUGUUUUGGUGAUUGCUCUGCUCAUGGCCCACCUUGCUCCUGAAAGGGAUGCCCCGUUUGCUGAGGCUGUGUUUGUAAGAAAAGGUUCCUGACUAGCUGUGGUUUUGAGAGAGAGAGAAGAUCCCCAUUUUUAGGGGCUGCUCAGUUUUCUGGCCAGGAGCAGUGUGUCCUACGCAGUAGAAGGUUGCAUCUAGGAGAAUGAGUCCAGGUGGUGAAUUGCUUGCCUUUCUCUCGUGUUUCUCUCUCUCUCUCUCUCUCCUCUAGUGUGUUGGCCAACACUCUUUCUCAAUCUGUCCUUGCUUUUCCUUGUGCUGUCUCCCUUCUUAGGAUAUCGGCAGGCGAGCUAGGUGUGCACCCCCACAGGUUGUGUCUUGGGAGCCAUAAAGAAGUAGGAGGGGACGAAAAUCAUGCGGGGCAGUCGGUGUGAGACUGGAGCGAUGACUGUUGGUGUUGUGGGGCUAAGACAGAUCGAAAGCGACGCAGGGAAGAGGGCCUUAAUUGGGCUCUAUGUAGUGCAGGAGUUCUCAAACUGGGGUUUAGGUCCCGUCAGGGGGCCGCAAGGUUGUUAUUUGGGGGUUUGUGAAAUGUCAUCCUCCAUCCUAAACAUCACUUUGCUUCCAGCAUUUAUAAUGGUGUUGAAUAUACAAAAAGUGUUUUUAAUUUAUAAGGGGAGGGUCACACUCAGAAGCUUUCUAUGUAAAAGGGAUCAUCAGUACAAAAGGUUGAGAACCACUGGUGUAGUGAUAGUUCUUGCUUGCCUUUAUUAGUUUGCAGAGGAAUUGUCCAGGAGUCUCAGCUGGAGAAGAAGCUGGCAGAAGUGGACCUGAACUGCCUGGACAUCCUUCUAAGGAGACAUGAACAGUCCUCAGCUUUCUGCAUUCUGGAUAACUGGCUAUGAGUAAGAACAGUCACACAUCAGAGUCUACUGUCCUCAUGCGAUGGAAAGUGAGUGAGAGCAGCGAGCCUGUGAGCAUUGUUCAUGCCAGGCAACAGACGUCAAUGUGGGGGUCGAGCAGACGCCACUUUUGCAGAGGAAUCGUCCAGGAGCCCCAGCCGGAUGAGAAUGUCAGAAGUGGACCUGAGCAGCCUGGACAUCCUUCUAAGGAAACAAGAAUAGUCCUCAGUUUUCUGCCUUCUGCAUAACUGGCUUACCAAGGAAAAAGACGUCACAUGUCAAAGUCUACUGCCCUUAUGAGUGAGAGUGACGAGACUGCGAGCGUUGUUGGUGCCAGGCAGGAACCGUCCAUCUGGGAGCAGAACAGCUGCUACUAUCACUGAGAUAAGUGUCUGUUUUGCUGGGGGUUCUGCUCACGGCCCACCUGGCUACAGGUAGAGACACCCCGUUAGGUGGAGUGGGUUUGUAAGAAAAGGUUCCUGACUAGCUGUGGUUUUAAGGGAGACACGGUCCCCAUUUUCAGGGGCUGAUGAUUUCUCUGGCCAGGAUUGGUGUGUCCUCGGCAGGAGAAGGUUAGAUCCAUGAGGGAUGACUCCAGGUGAGGAAUUGUCCAGGAGCAGCAGCUGAAGGAGAAAGUGGCAGACGCGGACCUGAGGAGCCUGGACAUCCUUCUAAGCAGACAUGAAAGGUCCUCAGAUUUCUGCCUCCUGCACAACUGGCUGUGAGUAAGCGGUCAGUGCUUGGAAUCCCUCAUCUGUACUGGCUCCGGUUUUGUUCAGAGGCUCUGAAUUUCUUCAUUGGACACAGUGCUCUGUGGGAUUCAGACGAGGCAAAGGCACAAGUCUCCUGUGCAGAUGCUGGGUGUAGUACCAAGUGGAGAGUCAGUCCACUCCGCACAUGCCAUGGAAAGGGAGCGAGAGCUGGGAGAUUCUAAGCAUUGUUGAUGCCAGGGAAGAGCCAUCCAGCUGGGAGUGGAGCAAGGACCACUGUCUGUGAGAUAAGUGUCUUGUUAGGUGAAGGCUCUGCUGUGGUUAGGAGGGAGACAAGGUUCCUAUUUUCAGGGGCUGCUCAGUCUUCUGGCCAGUAUCGGUGUGUCCUCUGCAGCGGAAAGUUGGAUCCAGGAGGAUGACUCCAGGUGACAAGUUGCUUGCCUUCCUCCCAUGUUUCUCAUUUUCUCGCUCUGUCUCUCUAGUGUGUUGGCCAACGCGCUCUCUUAAUCUGUCCUUUCCUUUCCUUGUGCCAUCUCCCUUCUUAGGACACAGGUAGGCCUGUGAGGUGUGCAUCUCCACAGGUUAGGUCUUGAAAGCCCUGGAGUAGUAGGAGGGGACGAAAACCAUGCGGGGUAGUGGGUGCGAGAGUGGAGCAGUGAUUGUCAGUGUUGAAUCGGUCUCUGUUCAAGUGGGGCUGAUGUAGAUGGGGUGGAAGAGGGAGGCAGGAUUGAGGGCAACAUUUCAAGUACCAUUAGAGCUGUGUGUAGAGAUGGCGCAUGCUUGGCUUUUGCAGCUGCACUUCCAGAGGAAUUGUCCAGGAGCUCGAGCCGGAGGAGAAACUGGCAGAGGUGGAUCUGAGCAGCUUGGACAUGUUCUAACCAGACAGGAACAGUCCUCAGCUUUCUGCCUUCUGAACAACUGGCUGUGAGUAAGAGGUCAGUGCUUUCAAUUCCUUAUCUGUACUCGCUGUAGUUUACUUCACAGGCCUUGUGCUUCCUCGCUGGGUACAGGACAUUGUGAUAUUAAGGCUGGUGAAGGGACAAGAGUCUCCUGAGCAAAGUGACUAUUUUGGGUGCAGUUACAAUGGAUCCCUUCUAGUUGCAGAUGUAAAGUAGUAAUAGGAGAUGGUUUGAUGGCGGAGCCGUGGGAUAUGGGAGAUGUGAGAUGAAGAGACUACGUGACAUUGCAGAUGGAGAUGCUAAUUUGUUUGUUUUUCUCUCCUCUGCUGGGUUUAGUACCA